rnacentral:lncRNA from 1 species
AUGGGACCGGAUGCGCGCGGGGACAGCUCCCGGCACCCGCUCCGUCCUCGUCUAACCGGCCGGGGUGUGCGCAGGGCUGGGCCCGCAGGGCGGCCAGGGGACGAGGACCGUCCUGAAAACAGGCGCAGUCUCCCAGACUCCCCACGCCGAAGACGCUCGGCCACACGCGCAUGCACACACACCGCACACACAACAUACGCACAUAGACACUGCGAACACUCAACAUACCCCCCAUACGGACACACCACACACCACAUACACACAUACCACGUACACACCCCUCACACACACACACACACACACACCACACACCACAUACACACGCAUAUCACAUGCACACACGCAUACCACGCCACUCACUCACACACACCUCUUAACAGAAGAUCAGCUAGAAACUUUCAGAUCAGGAAAACAACGUGCAAAAAUGGUACCAUUUUCUCACAGGACUGGGUUCAUAAGGAAUUCCUUCUAAAGACAGGCGCUUCUCUCCCAGGAAGCGCCCGUGCCCUGAGAGGAGGACCCCGCAGCCCCGCACGCCCCGCGGCCUGUCCAGUGAGAAGCAGCUGGUCCUCGUGGGCCCGCCGUGUUUGUCGUCAGCUCUUCAGACUCGGGUGUAGACAGCCCCGCCCGGAGCUGAGGGCCCUGCCUGCUCCCCAGCCCAGCCCCUGGUCACAGAGCCAGAACUUUCUGCUGCUCAAGUCUGGAUUCGGCCGACAUCCACGAAGGAAGCAGAGGAUGCUGCGGAUCCUAGAGAAGCUGGGGAGCGCACCCCCGCCCUGGGCGAGGGCCGGCGCGGCUCCAGGACCGGCUUCCAGACGGAAGGGGUGCGGCGCGGUCGGCCUACUACGCGGUCGGGCUUCCGGAGGGCACAGGCAGCCGCGCCGGUGUAGCCCUGCGAGGACGGGGAGACUCCCCAGGGCUCCCCUCCGAUGCUCUCACCGUCUUUCUCAUCUGCAUCCACGGGGCCUUGACAACCUUGCUGAGCGUUCGUCUCAGAAAAGCAACUGUGAGCCCUCAGCCAAAUCCAGGGUGUGCUCCCCUUGGGACUCAGAGAGCCAGCAGUGGCGCAGCAGGUGCUGA